GGGGAAUAUUGCACAAUGGGCGAAAGCCUGAUGCAGCAACGCCGCGUGAGUGAUGAAGGUCUUCGGAUUGUAAAGCUCUGUCUUUUGGGACGAUAAUGACGGUACCAAAGGAGGAAGCCACGGCUAACUACGUGCCAGCAGCCGCGGUAAUACGUAGGUGGCGAGCGUUGUCCGGAUUUACUGGGCGUAAAGGGUGCGUAGGCGGAUGUUUAAGUGAGAUGUGAAAUACCCGGGCUUAACUUGGGUGCUGCAUUUCAAACUGGAUAUCUAGAGUGCAGGAGAGGAGAAUGGAAUUCCUAGUGUAGCGGUGAAAUGCGUAGAGAUUAGGAAGAACACCAGUGGCGAAGGCGAUUCUCUGGACUGUAACUGACGCUGAGGCACGAAAGGCGUGGGUAGCAAACAGGAUUAGAUACCCUGGUAGUCCACGCCGUAAACGAUGAGUACUAGGUGUAGGAGGUAUCGACCCCUUCUGUGCCGCAGUAAACACAUUAAGUACUCCGCCUGGGAAGUACGAUCGCAAGAUUAAAACUCUAAAGUGAAUUGAC
rnacentral:rRNA from 1 species